AUCAGGCAAGGACCAGAAGAGUCAGAGAGAAAGAGAAAGCAGCAUUAAUUCUAAAGGGCUCUCCAGUCACCCUCCAUAAAGACAGAACAAUUUCCAUUUGAAAAGAACAAUUGUUAAUGAGCUCUAUUCUCCUAGCCUAUCACCCUACAAGCAAAGAGGCUGCUUUGAAGUCAACACAGUCUAUUAUGGGAAAAAUAAACCUCUCAGAACAAAGGGCAGUUCAAGUACAGACUUGUGCAGGCUCAUGGCACAUGCUCAGCCUCACUCCAGCUCCACCAGCUGCCCCAUCUAAUGAUGGCAUGAAGCCCUCAGGACACCAGCGUCCUUGAGCAUCAGGGAUUGGACCCAGUGCCUCUACCCCCACCGGGGACCUCCCCACUCCCUGCUCAUGCACCUCUGCUCUUAAGGGCUCCCAAAUGGAGCUCCCCAUUGGUGAAAGAUUUCCCUCCCUUGUUUUCUUCAGGUCCUCAAGAGCCUCAGAUUAAUAUUCCAUGGUGUGGAUCCACUGUCUUUUGUUUAACAAUUUGUCUGUUGAGAAUAUCUGGGUGGUUUUCAUUUUUGAGAGGAGCCAGAACUUGUACAGUACCAGGUCUGGUGAAUAAGCCUGGAGAAGAUCACCCAUGUUUGUAAGAGCCCGCCUUUCCAUUGGAUGGUUCUUUGCAGCCACUAACCAUCUUUUGCAUCACAUCUCAUAAAGACAAGAAACAAGAUUUCCAGAACUAUUUUAAGAAAAAUGUUAACGAGCCAGGAUAAAACGCCUGCCGUGAUCCAGAGAACAAUGUUGAAGCAUGACCUGGAAUUGGACCCCGCCAAGGACUAUGAGUUGGUGCAAGUCAUCUCGGAGGAAAGCCAUGUUGUGACACAGCCUGAAGGCCCUCUCCAGAUGCCAGUCCAGUGCUCUUGGACUUCUCAGCGUACCAUGAGCCAAAUGUUGGUAGGAUUAUAGACUGGUGCAACCAUUGUGGAGGACAGUUUGGAGAUUUCUCAGUAACCUGGGAUUGGAAGUACCAUUUGAUUCAACUAUUCCACUUCUAGGAAUAUUCCAAGAAGAACUGAAAACAUCAUACCACAGUGAAAUAUGUGCACCCAUGUUUAUAGCAGCACAAUUUGUAAUAGCCAGAUCUUGGAAACAACCUAACUGUCCACCAACUGAGGAAUGGAUAAAAAAGUUGUGGUAUUUUUAUACAAUAGAGUGCUACUCAGCUAUAAAGAAUGGUCACAUUGAGAUAUUUGUAAAUAAAUGAACACAACUUGAGACCAUACUCAUAAGCGAGAUAAAUCAAACUCACAUGUAUAAAUAUCGUAUAGUCUCAGUGUAAGAAAUGGUAAGAGUACACAAAAGUUUAUGGUAAUCAUGAUUCCCCAUUACAUUGCUUUGAAGCCUUAUAAUGUUUCCCUUCAUUAGUUGGAAUGGUUUUAUCCUGGGUUGUUUGAUUUUAUUAUCUGUGAUGGUAUGAACAGCUAUUUUGAAGAAAACAAGACAUUAUAAUAGCCAGUGCUGAUUUAAUAUCAUCUUGUUUUGAAGUCCCACCAAGCUUUUGUUCUUCAGUUUCCAUUGGUUCUAUCAUGUUGUAUCUUAUUGGAUUUUAUCGUGUGUGGUAGUAUAAACAAAUUUUUUAUGGACAAUGGGAAAAUAUUGUAACCAUUGUUUAUUUUCGGUUAUUUGAUUCUGAAUGCCCUGUAAUACUUUCAUUCUCUUGAAUGAUUUUAUACCAUUUUGUUAUGUUUGAUACUACUGUGUAUGAAGGUAUGCUCAACUAUCUCAAGGAAAAGACAAUAUGGUAGUUACUGUGUUAUCAGGUUGCCUUGUGGUGAAAUACUGUGUUGCUUAAAUUGUCCUGUUCUGAUCUGCUCUGUUAUGUCUUCUUUUAU